rnacentral:rRNA from 1 species
AUACGGAGGGUGCAAGCGUUACUCGGAAUCACUGGGCGUAAAGCGCGCGCAGGCGGUCUUUUAAGUUGGAUGUGAAAGCCUACGGCUCAACCGUAGAACUGCAUCCAAAACUAUUAGACUGGAGUGUGGGAGAGGAAGAUGGAAUUAGUUGUGUAGGGGUAAAAUCCGUAGAUAUAACUAGGAAUACCAAAAGCGAAGGCAAUCUUCUGGAACACUACUGACGCUGAGGCGCGAAAGCGUGGGGAGCAAACAGGAUUAGAAACCCUAGUAGUCC